GCGUCGGUACUCAAGUGGUCAACGAGGGGAGACUGUAAAUCUCCUGACUUCGGUCUUCGAAAGUUCGAAUCUUUCCCGGCGCACAA
rnacentral:tRNA from 1 species